CUCCAACACUGCUCUCAUCACCUAUAUACUCUUCUCUCUGCCCGUCUCUGCUUCCCCCCCCUUCCCCCCCCCCUUUUCUCCCGGCCGACGGAGCUGAAGGGGCGGGGGUUCCUUCCUUGGAGUGUUUCUAGAGCUCGGAGGCUGCUGGUAGGGGGGCACCACUUUCAGAUAAAAACAUAGACCUGAAUGGCAUCAUCCAGUAUCCAAGGAAACCAUUGUGUCUGUAACCAGCUAAUGAGCUGCAACAGAGCCUGGCCUUCAUUUUCAGCAAAUUAAGUUCAUCCCUCAUAGGAAUUGUGGUCUGGCUGUGGCACCGCUCCUAGGUUCUCUAAACAUGAAUAUGCCUUUGGGGGAAGACAGAAGAACAUGGAAGCCAUGUGAAAAAAACGGAUCCUAAGGCAGUUUUGAACAUCUGGAGGCCUGAUUUAUUGGAGAUUGCAAAUGUACAGUGUAACAUAGCUGUGGAGAGCGAGAAGAUCAGGAUUGUCAAUGCUGUCAUUGCUUUUACUGGAAUCCCCAGCACGAAUUGAAGGUUUGACCAGAGACAAAGAAGCAAAUGCUAUCAAUUAACAUUCACAUGUGGUAGGUCUCACUUUGCCACCUAGGCUGGAUGCAAUGCAACGGUAUGUUGAUCUUGGUUCACUGCAGCCUCAACCUCCUGAGCUCAUGUGAUCCUCCCACCUCAGUCCCCCACGUCGCUUGGAUUACAGGCCUGUGCCACCACACCUGGCUAACUUUUUUUGUAAUUUUUGUAGAGACAGGGUCUCACUAUGUUUCCCAUGCUGGUCUUUAAUGCCUGAGCUCAAGCCAUCCGCCUGCCUCGGCCUCCCAAAUUGCUGGGAUUACAGGCAUGAGCCACCAUGCCCAGCCUAAUUCUUCUAAAUCUUAUCCUAGUAAUUAAGCCAGAAUUUUUCUCUGCCAAGACCAAUAGAUGGACCAAGAAGUACUCAUCCUUGUAAACUUUCUUUGGAUAAAUUGCUUACAUAUAAUAAAUUCAGAGUUAAGUAAUAAAAAUAAUGAACUACUGUCUUG
rnacentral:lncRNA from 10 species